rnacentral:rRNA from 1 species
UGAGGAAUAUUGGACAAUGGGCGCAAGCCUGAUCCAGCCAUGCCGCGUGCAGGAUGAAGGUCCUAUGGAUUGUAAACUGCUUUUAUACGGGAAGAAACCCUGGAACGUGUUCCAGACUGACGGUACCGUAAGAAUAAGGAUCGGCUAACUCCGUGCCAGCAGCCGCGGUAAUACGGAGGAUCCAAGCGUUAUCCGGAAUCAUUGGGUUUAAAGGGUCCGUAGGGCGGGCCCUGUAAGUCAGUGGUGAAAUCUCACGGCUCAACCGUGAAAUUGCCAUUGAUACUGCAGGGCUUGAAUUACCAGGAAGUAACUAGAAUAUGUAGUGUAGCGGUGAAAUGCUUAGAUAUUACAUGGAAUACCGAUUGCGAAGGCAGGUUGCUACUGGUGGAUUGACGCUGAUGGACGAAAGCGUGGGUAGCGAACAGGAUUAGAUACCCUGGUAGUCCACGCCGUAAACGAUGGAUACUAGCUGUUGGGUUUCACGACUCAGUGGCUAAGCGAAAGU